AAAGAAAAUCUUCUCUCUGUUAUUAAGAAAAAGUUGCCUUCCCGUUCCCCAUUCUCCCUCCCUAGUGUUGGACAGCGCCGCCGCCGCCGCCUCCCACCUUCUCGUCGUUCUCGGGGGACGAGGGCAGGAAGAAUAUCGUCUCCGGUGGCUGCACCAUCGUGCCCUCCACCCGCGCUGCCGUAUCAACGGGACCUUGCGCGGCUCCCUAUUAUUUCAGCUCCACCCGCGCCACCAUCGACGGCGCGGCUCCUCGCACGGCUGCAGCGGCGCUCCUGGCCGGUAGAGGAGGAGUGAGAGGCCGCUGCUUCCUCAGCAUGGUCCUGCUCGCCGACGACGAAGUCCUGCGAGGAGACGGCUCCACUGCUCCGAGCUCCUCCGACCUACUACUGCCGGCGCCAUGGAGGCUGUAGAGAUGAUCUGAAAUAAGAGAGGACGAAACUUGUUACUUGUUCCCAGCUGUGUGUCUCCUGUUUCUUCAUAGCCGUAGAUGUAGCUUUUAUUCUGGUUACUUGUCCUUGUCUUCUGGUGUCCUUGCCGCCGCGUUCAACCUAUGCACCAAGACCCCUAGCAGCUGCAGUUGGAGUUAAUCCAUCUGUGGUUGGUGUUCGUGCUGCUGUUUGUAUCGCUACAACAGUGAAGGCCACGGGUCAGAGUGUUUUUCGUAUCUGGGAGAAUGAAACAUGAGGAGACUGUUGUAGCAAUAUUUCAUCGACCAGAUGAAGUUGUGGUUGGAACAGUAUUGCCAUUUGAAGAUUCAGUUUCUGAGGAAAAAACUGGAAUUCCUUGAGAUGCGGGAAGAACUUAUCAAGGUGAUGUAUGUGUCUUACAAAUAUUAAAAAUGGACUAUUUUUACAUCAUCUGCAAAUGCAACCAUGAUACUUGUCGUAGAUAUGAAACUCACAUUGGUCUGUACUUCUGGUAAGCUAGUAGUGAGUGGGGCAUGUAGUCACUCUUCUUUUACUAGUUUAUUGUCUUGGCUCAAAAGUCAUUCACAUUAUGGACUUCUUUUGUCCGAUAUCCCAUGUAACAGACGCUACUAUUACAUAUCCUGUCACGCGCUUGUUCUGUCA